CAUGUCUUUUUGAGAAUAAUUUAAAGUCUAAUCUGCUCAAUGAAGAUUAAAUUGCCGCAGUAUUUUGACUGUGCAAAGGUAGCAUAAUAAUUAGCUUCUUAAUUAGAAGCUGGAAUGAAUGAUUGGACAAGAAAAUUUCUGUCUCUAUUUAAAUGUUUAUUGAAUUUUAUUUUUAAGUUAAAAAGCUUAAAUUUAUAUAAAAGACGAGAAGACCCUAUAGAGUUUAAUAUUUAUAAUUUAUUUGAUUUUAGAAUUUUUUUUGAAUUUUAAAUAUUUAAUUGGGGUGAUUUAAAGAUUUAAAUAAUUCUUUAAUUUUUUUAUUGAUGAUAAUUAAGUUUUAAAUCUAUAUUUUUAAAUUUAAUAUAAAUUACCUUAGGGAUAACAGCGUAAUUUUUCUUUAAAGCUCUUAUUAAAAGAAGAUUUUGCGACCUCGAUGUUGGAUUAAAAUUAAUUUUUGGUGCAGUAACUUAAAAAUUAGGUCUGUUCGACCUUUAAAAUUUUACAUGAUCUGAGUUUAAACCGGUGUAAGCCAGGUUGGAUUCUAUCUUUAGAUUUUUUACAUAUUUUAGUACGAAAGGACCAAAUAUUUAUUAUAAUAAUUG
rnacentral:rRNA from 1 species